GGAAAGGUGAAAAGCACCCCGAUAAGGGGAGUGAAAUAGAUCCUGAAACCGGAUGCUUACAAGCAGUGGGAGCCUCCUUGUGGGGUGACCGCGUACCUUUUGUAUAAUGGGUCAGCGAGUUAAUUUUGCGAGCGAGCUUAAGCCGUUAGGUGUAGGCGUAGCGAAAGCGAGUCUUAAUAGGGCGCAUGAGUUAGAUGGAUCAGACCCGAAACCGAGUGAUCUAGGCAUGGCCAGGUUGAAGGUUGGGUAACACCAACUGGAGGACCGAACCCAUACACGUUGCAAUGUGUCGGGAUGACUUGUGGCUAGGGGUGAAAGGCCAAUCAAACUUGCUUAUAGCUGGUUCUCCGCGAAAUCUAUUUAGGUAGAGCGUCGAUCGAAUACUCUUGGGGGUAGAGCACUGACUGGGCUAGGGGUCCUCACCGGAUUACCAAACCUUAUCAAACUCCGAAUACCAAGAAGUACUAAUCGGCAGACACACGGCGGGUGCUAACGUCCGUCGUGGAGAGGGAAACAACCCUGACCACCAAUUAAGGUCCCCAAAUAAUGGCUAAGUGUGAAAGGAUGUGGGAUUGCUUUGACAAUGAGGAGGUUGGCUUAGAAGCAGCCAUCCUUUAAAGAAAGCGUAACAGCUCACU
rnacentral:rRNA from 1 species